ensembl:processed_transcript
AAAGGGAGAAGACCAGAAAAACAAUAAGAAACAACAACGAAAACCUGGAAAUAGCUUGAUUUCAGAAACCCUGCACUCAGAACUGUGUGAACAAAUCUCUGCUGCUUAAGCCACCCGGUUACAGCACUCUCAGUAACCAAACACAACCUCGCCAGUCUGACAAACAACAGGAGUCUAACAUGGCUGUCCUCUGAGGGCUCCACCCAACAGCUGACUCAGACAGAUGCAGACACCUGAAGUCAAACAAUGGACGGCGCUUGAAGACUCUGAGAGAAGAUUUAGAGGAAGAAUUGCAGGCCCGGAGGGAACAGGACAUCAGGGUUCUUAAGAUGACCCAGCAGACAAAAGCACUUGCUAUCUAGUCUGACUUCUGUACACAUGUCAUUGAACACAUGUGCAUACACACACACACACACACACACACACACACACACACACACACACACACACACACAUACACACAAAUACCAAACAUUUUAAACAGGAUGCAACAUUAAAAUCUAAUAAUUCCUCCUGAUAUUGUUGAAAAUUACAGAUAUUAAAAGCCUACGAGAGUUGUGAGCUAUGUGAAAGGUUCCCUCUAUCUUGAAUGACAGCAAAGUAAACUUUGUAGGAAAAUGGAAAUAAGAAACUACAUACUGAUACUAAAGC